rnacentral:rRNA from 1 species
UGAGGAAUUUUCCACAAUGGGCGAAAGCCUGAUGGAGCAACGCCGCGUGCAGGACGAAGGCUUUAGGGUUGUAAACUGCUUUUAUAUGUGACGAAUAUGACGGUAGCAUAUGAAUAAGGAUCGGCUAACUCCGUGCCAGCAGCCGCGGUCAUACGGAGGAUCCAAGCGUUAUCCGGAUUAACUGGGCGUAAAGAGUUGCGUAGGUGGUAUUGUAAGCGAAUAGUGAAAUCGUGUGGCUCAACCAUAUCGA